rnacentral:rRNA from 1 species
AGCUCCAAUAGCGUAUAUUAAAGUUGUUGCGGUUAAAAAGCUCGUAGUUGGAUUUCUGUCGUCGAGUGGCGCUCCGCCCCUUGUGGUGAGCAGUCGUCAUGCCGUCGGCAUCUUCUUGGGGAGCGUAUCUGCACUUCAUUGUGUGGUGCGUCAGCCAGGACUUUUACUUUGAGGAAAUGAGAGUGUUUCAAGCAGGCGCACGCCGUGAAUACGUUAGCAUGGAAUAAUAGCAUCGGACCUCGCUCCAAAGCUGUUGGUUUCUUGGGUCGAGGUAAAGGUGAAUAGGGAUUGUUGGGGGCAUUCGUAUUUAACUGUCAGAGGUGAAAUUCUUGGAUUUGUUGAAGACGGACUACUGCGAAAGCAUCUGCCAAAGAUGUUCUCAUUGAUCAAGAACGAAAGU